rnacentral:rRNA from 1 species
UACAGAGGGUGCGAGCGUUAAUCGGAAUUACUGGGCGUAAAGCGCGCGUAGGCGGCUUUGCAAGUCGGGUGUGAAAUCCCCAGGCUUAACCUGGGAACUGCAUUCGAGACUGCAUUGCUAGAGUAUGGGAGAGGGAAGUGGAAUUUCCGGUGUAGCGGUGAAAUGCGUAGAUAUCGGAAGGAACAUCAGUGGCGAAAGCGGCUCACUGGACCAUAACUGACGCUGAUGCACGAAAGCGUGGGGAGCAAACAGG